ACCACUCAGUUUUUCAUGCUGAGGAAAGGGAGGAGGAAAGCGUGGAGGAGUGGGGGUCACAAACCAGCGGAGCACAGCCUGAAGCCAGGCCACGACUUGGUGAAUAACGUCAGGCUCACACAUCUGGCCUCCGGAAUGCGGAGGGCCCAGAGGACAGGCCUGGGGUUCUGCUGCUCCUUGGGGCAGGCUCUUCCUCUGAAAUCACCAAGGCUGCUUCGUUGAGAAAAGUCUUGGGCUUUCUAGGCUCUCCUGGCCCAACUCAGGUGGUGACGUGUGAAAUGGGCAUUCUUUGCCCACUGAUGAAGACCAGGUCUCCAUAGACACAGGAUCAAAAGAAGCAAGGCUCCAGAGUCUGAUGGCUCUGGAGUGGAUCCCUGGCUGGGCGACCCUGGCCAGUACUUUGGUUUCCUCCUCUGUGCACGAGCAUCACAUUCUGCAGGGUCUGGAGGAAGGAUAACCUGCAGAAUGCCCGGCAGCUGCUGGACGUCCAAUCAAUGCUCCUGACCACCUGCCCAAGUCAGCGAACAAGAUGGUUACUCUGCCAGGGCUAGGACCUGGGCCCGUUGGAGGUUUUGCUGCCUGUUAGUCAAAGAAAGCUGUCAAUCAGGAACUGGAAGAUGCCGCUUGCAGGGACCCAGUGAUGGUCUGUCCUGUGAAGAGCCUCCCCAGCUUAUCCUUGAGCAAGGGGGAUACCUAGGAGUGGAAUUGCUGGAUCACAUGGAUUUCCUACAUAUAGAAUCAUGUCAUCUGAGAAUGAAGACAGUGUACUUCUUCCUUUCCAGUCUGGAUGCCUCUUGCCUGUUUCUUGUUCCCGUGAGGCUUGUUCCUGUUUGGGGGUGUCUGCCUGAGUUGUUCUUCCCCCAGCUGUUCCAUGGCUCACUCCCUCACCUCCUUAGGUCUUUACUCAAAUGUCAACUUCUUGCCAAGGCCUUCUUGGAACACCCUACUUAAACUGAACCCCUCCUCACACCCCACACCCCUAACCCUUUUUCUUGCUUUGUAUUUCUCCACAGCACUGACCAUCUCAGACUUUAUACCUCUCCCCUCUCAAGAUGGUCCUGAGAGUUCCAAGAACAAAUAAUAUGCCUGGAAGGAGGGCCUGAGCUGGUGCUUAGCCAGGGUUGGAUGAAGGAGGGUCCAGAAGGGGCGUUCUCUGGGGCACUCAGACCCCUGCCCCACCCUUCCUGGCUGGGAGGGGAAGGGUCUCCAUGCAAAUGGGAAGACAUUCAGGAGGCACUAGGUGGGGGUCCCCGGGGAGGCUCAUAUACACCCGUGCCUGCCUAAACAGCCCAGCCACACCCAGACAGGGCCCAGCCUCGACAAGGGGUCUACCUGAAGCUUGUUUGCACUUCAUUUCACCUGAAUAGAAAAUGCUGGCGACUCAGGAGAUGGGGAGGACAGAGGUAGGUUCCCAGUGACUGCCCCAGCUGCAGACCCACUAGAGGUGAUCCUGCCUUUGGAGACUCCACUCUGCCCCUGGCAACCAGGAAAAUACAUUCCCUAUUUUCAUGGGGUUAAGGAACGGGAUCUCUUUACACCUCCUUAGCCGGGGGUGGGGGUGGGGGGGUGAUCCCGGAGCCCAGUCUGAGCAUAGGUGGGUGGAGGUUGCAGUGGAAAGAGCCCCCAGCUGGAUGUCAGACAAUCCUGGGUCCCUGUCCUGCUCUGUGUUUUUGCAGCAGAAUGAACUUAAGGCCUGAGAGUCAAGCCCUGGGUGGGUUUCCACCUCCAUCAAAUAGGCCUGAGGAAGCCCCCUCACCCUGGGUGGGAGGUUUGCUCCCCUACUCUGGGUCUCCAUUUCUUCAUCUGUACACCCAGUGUAAGAAUACAUCCUCCGUACAGCCACUAUGGAGAACAGUAUGGAAGUUCCUUAAAAAACUAAAAAUAGAACUACCAUACGACCCAGCAAUCCCACUACUGGGCAUAUACCCUGAGAAAACCAUAAUUCAAAAAGAGUCAUGUACCACAAUGUUCAUUGCAGCUCUAUUUACAAUAGCCAGGACAUGGAAGCAACCUAAGUGUCCAUCGACAGAUGAAUGGAUAAAGAAGAUGUGGUACAUAUAUACAAUGGAAUAUUACUCAGCCAUAAAAAGAAACGAAAUUGAGUUAUUUGUAGUGAGGUGGAUGGACCUAGAGUCUGUCAUACAGAGUGAAGUAAGUCAGAAAGAGAAAAACAAAUACCGUAUGCUAACACAUAUAUAUGGAAUCUAAAAAAAUUUAAAAAAAAAGGUCAUGAAGAACCUAGGGGCAAGAUGGGAAUAAAGACACAGACCUACUAGAGAAUGGACUUCAGGAUAUGGGGAGGGGGAACGGUAAGCUGGGACGAAGUGAGAGAGUGGCAUGGACAUAUAUACACUACCAAACGUAAAAUAGGUAGCUAGUGGGAAGCAGCCGCAUAGCACAGGGAGAUCAGCUUGGUGCU